CCCGAACCCCAGGCUGAAACCCUAGGGAACUCACUGAAAACCCUGCACCCACUUUUCUUUCUUUUCUUUCUUUUUCUCUCGAAAGGUUUUGGACCUUCACCUUAUGUACAAGACUUCCUCACACACCAGGCUUUCUCUCCAAAAAAUUUUAUGCAUGCCCCAUCCUUCUCCUCUUUUUAAAACAAUGUAGAACGUGUCUUAUCCGCGUGAGAGGAUAAAGAUAAG
rnacentral:lncRNA from 1 species